AGAAUACUCCCUCCGUUCCAAAAAAUUUAUGUUAAAUUUGUUUAGAUAUGAAUGUAUCUAGUCACGUUUUAGUAUUAAGAUACAUUCAUUUUUAGAUAAACCUAGGACAAGAAUUUUGAGAUGGAGGGAGUAUUAU
rfam:Hordeum vulgare subsp. vulgare, WGS project CAJW01000000 data, contig: morex_contig_1585961